GAAUCCAAUUUCUUUGUGUGUUCUUUAAGAUACAUAAAGAAAUCGCGUAAUAUACAGCAAUGGCAGUACCAUUGGCAGCAUGAAUCGGUGCACUUUGACCCGUGAAUUGAGCAAACAGAAUUGCUAUCUAACUUGCGUUUGACUCAUUCUUUUCACCACUCGGCCGUCCGUUGUGCUCCGUUAUGUAUGCGUGCGAUAGAUUCGUAUAUACGGUAAUUUCUACCACAAAUGAAUAUUGGGAAUCUGUUGUGUGCACGUGUGUGAAAGGAGAGAGAUCGAUCACGAGUUGGACGUUUGUUUUCGUGGCCUUGGAUGUUCAUAUUCGCGCACAUCUUCGUGAUGGAAUACGAAGAGACGAAGAUAAGAAAAUAUUUUUCAAGUAUACUUCGCAGUAUCGUUAAAUAGUGGAUGAAACGUCAAGUUGUUCGUUUUCUGGAAAAUGUGUAUGAAAAAUAUCGCUGCUAGAUAUGAAACUCGUUGCUGCCUCUUCCUCCAUGACAGAAGAGAAUUGAUAUUAUAAAUAAGAUAUAAGGCAACAUCGACAUAAUUAUGAGAAUCGAAUAAUAUAUAGUCGCGAAUAAUUGCAUGGAAAAAAGUAAAAAGAUUGUAAAAAAAAGAUUAUAACUAAGAAAUUAGCUAUACUGUUUUAAAAUGAUUUUAUUUUAAAGUUACAUGUUGACAGAUUUUAUGAUACGAUUACAAAGAUUAAAAAGAAAAAUUCUUGUAUAUUCUUCGAAAAUAUUUAUAGGUUUUUAAGUUUUAAAAAUUAGGAUAGCAAUAAUUCAAUUUGGAAGAUUACAGAGAUCAUAAGAUAACUAAAGAAUCAUAGAAUAAGGAUACUUAUUUAGUAAUUUAGGAAAUAAAAAAUAGAAUUA